rnacentral:rRNA from 1 species
GAUGAACGCUGGCGGCGUGCUUAACACAUGCAAGUCGAACGGGGAUUAUACGCUGAUGCGAUUUCGGUCAAAUCUUGUGUAAUCCCAGUGGCGGACGGGUGAGUAACGCGUGGGUAACCUGCCUUACACCGGGGGAUAACACUUAGAAAUAGGUGCUAAUACCGCAUAAGCGCACGGUCCUGCAUGGGACAGUGUGAAAAACUCCGGGGGUGUAAGAUGGACCCGCGUCUGAUUAGCUUGUUGGCGGGGUAACGGCCCACCAAGGCGACGAUCAGUAGCCGGCCUGAGAGGGUGGACGGCCACAUUGGGACUGAGACACGGCCCAA